rnacentral:rRNA from 1 species
UACGUAGGGCGCAAGCGUUAUCCGGAAUUAUUGGGCGUAAAAGAGCUCGUAGGCGGUUUUGUCGCGUCUGCCCGUGAAAAGUCCGGGGGCUCAAACUCCGGAUCUGCGGUGGGGUACGGGCAGACUAGAGUGAUGUAGGGGGAGACUGGAAAUUCCUGGUGUAGCGGUGAAAAUGCGCAGAUAUCAGGAGGAACACCGAUGGCGA